UCUAGCGACAAUUAUCAACACUAUUUUUCUUCCUUUUCACAAUGAAAACGAAUAAAAAUAAUACUUAAAACGUUAUUCAAAGCGGCCAUUUUUUUAUUAGUCACUUAACUUAUUUGUUGCCAUUGUAACAAGUGAAGCGUUAUUGAAAAUUAAUUAUUGAGAUUUUUUAAAAACAAAAUUUUGUUUUACAAAUUUACAGUAAAUCUUUCAACACUAUAAAUGUUGGAAUGGAUCAUUUUUAUUCUUUUCGAAAUUUCCGCUGGUUCAAUUCUAUUUUAAACGGGGUUAUUGGCCUUAACGGUUUCAUUUUGAGGUUAUCAAAUACACCAUCUUCGUUCAAGACUUUGACCAUAAACGGAGGAAGAAUGGUAUAUGCUGAUCUUGUAGGACCAAAGAAUGGAGUCAUUCAUGUUAUAGACAGAGUUCUUUUCCCUUUCGGGGAUCGAAAUUUGCUCCAAACUAUCAAAGACUGUAAUAAAUUUGAUGGAUUCUUAUCAUUGGUCAAAUUUGCGGAAUUAAACGAUAUACUAACUGAUGUUGGACCUUAUACUAUCUUUUUACCUACCAACGACGCUCUAGCUAAAAUGCCCAAGGACGAAUAUUCUAUUUACAAAUCUAACAAAACAGCCUUGAAAGAUUUCCUCCUGUACCACAUGGUAUUCGGAGCUUACUUUAGUUCUGAUUUAAGGGAUGGUCAUUACUUGGAAACAGGGCAACAGAGUGCUUCGAUUCGAGUUAGUGUCAGAGUAGAUGGAUGCCAAAGGCGCUUGGUAGAAGUAAAUGCUUCUCCAGUAUAUCUGACUGAUAUUCCAGCAUCUAAUGGGGUCAUUCAUAUUCUGGACUGGGUUCUAUCACCCAAUGACUUGGAUUGGUGCAGCAGUUUUUCACCAUAAUAUAUGAAAAAAAUUAAUUUGUGGUUAAGAUUCUUCCACAGUAUAUGAAGAUUUAAUAAUUAUUGUGAAAUUCAGAAAAUGUUUCUAACUUAAAUCACUAAAGAGGGGAAAAGAAAAGUUUACUUAUAUUAUUUUAUAUGUAAUUUUUACUAAAAGAAGCAAGAAUAAUUUCAAAAAAAAAAAAAGAAUUAACUUUAUUCAAGUGCUACACACCGAUUGUUAAUGGUAUGGAUAUGAACGAUGAGGAAAAGUCAUGAAAA